rnacentral:rRNA from 1 species
AGAAUCAACGCUGGCGGCGUGCCUAACACAUGCAAGUCGAACGCGAAAGUCCCGCAAGGGAUAAGUAGAGUGGCAAACGGGUGAGUAACACGUGGGUGACCUGCCUUCGAGUGGGGGAUAACGUCCCGAAAGGGACGCUAAUACCGCAUGACAUCCUGCUUUUUAAGAGGUGGAGAUCAAAGCUGGGGAUCGCAAGACCUAGUGCUUGAAGAGGGGCCCGCGCCUGAUUAGCUAGUUGGUGGGGUAAUGGCUCACCAAGGCAACGAUCAGUA